rnacentral:rRNA from 1 species
AGCACGGGGAGGUAGUGACGAAAAAUAACGAUACGGGACUCAUCCGAGGCCCCGUAAUCGGAAUGAGUACAUUUUAAAACUAUCCCCAAAGAUCAAUUGGAGGGUAAGUCUGGUGCCAGCAGCCGCGGUAAUUCCAGCUCCAAUAGCGUAUAUUAAAGUUGUUGCGGUUAAAAAGCUCGUAGUCGAAUCUGUGUCCCGCGCCGCUGGUUCAUCGCUCGCGGUGUUCAACUGGCGUGUCUCGCGGGACGUCCUGCCGGUGGGCUCGCGUAUUGCUUCGGCGGUGCGUGGCCCAACUCGUUUCCGUCUCGCGCGGUUAUGAAUCCCAUCGCGGUGCUCUUUAUUGAGUGUCGAGGUGGGCCGGCACGUUUACUUUGAACAAAUUAGAGUGCUUAAAGCAGGCCAAUUUUGCCUGAAUAUUGUGUGCAUGGAAUAAUGAAAUAGGACCUCGGUUCUAUUUUGUUGGUUUUCGGAACCCCGAGGUAAUGAUUAAUAGGAACGGAUGGGGGCAUUCGUAUUGCGACGUUAGAGGUGAAAUUCUUGGAUCGUCGCAAGACGGACAGAAGCGAAAGCAUUUGCCAAAAACGUUUUCAUUGAUCAAGAACGAAAGUUAGAGGUUCGAAGGCGAUCAGAUACCGCCCUAGUUCUAACCAUAAACGAUGCCAGCUAGCGAUCCGCCGACGUUCCUCCGAUGACUCGGCGGGCAGCUUCCGGGAAACCAAAGCUUUUGGGUUCCGGGGGAAGUAUGGUUGCAAAGCUGAAACUUAAAGGAAUUGACGGAAGGGCACCACCAGGAGUGGAGCCUGCGGCUUAAUUUGACUCAACACGGGACACCUCACCAGGCCCGGACACCGGAAGGAUUGACAGAUUGAUAGCUCUUUCUUGAUUCGGUGGGUGGUGGUGCAUGGCCGUU